AUGUUGAUCUAUAUUAUUAUACUGCUGUCAUCAACUGAAGGUUCCAGAGCCUCAGAAGUCAUCACUCCAAAAAGUGACAGAGAAUUUGCUCUUGAGGGUGACAAUGUGACACUCUCCUGUAACUACAGCGGUUCUGCUCGUGGUGUUCACUGGUAUCGACAAUAUGCAGGAUCACCACCACAGUUCCUCAUACUGGAAGAUUCAGGGGCAACAAUUGAAGCUAAUCCACCCAUUCCAGGAAUAACCAUCAAUCACAGAAAAAAAGAACUCCAUGUGGAUCUGAGCAUCUCCUCUGUUAACGUGUCAGGUUCAGCUCUGUACUACUGUGCUUUGCAGCCCACAGUGACAGGAAACGCUAUAAGAUUUUACAAAAACAGUUUUCAUAUGCUUAUCAAGCCUUAAAAGAAAUUCACAAACCACAGCUGGACUCAACAGCAAAAAAAAAAAAACUAAAAAAAAAAACUCUCUUACUGUGGAAUUAUUAAGUAAUAUCCAAUAUUGUGGCUUUAGUAGACAGUUACUCAGAAUGGAUCCUCCAUUCAUAGUUUUCAUGUGAUAUCACAUCCCAGGCUUAUCUGCUUAAUCACUGUUUUAAUGCAUUAAGGCACUUUAAGUGUUUCUCUUUAUUGUUUUGAGAGGUGAUUUAAUAUUAGUUGAUUGGAAGCAGAUAAAAAUUUAUAAGCUUGUGUUGCAGUUCUAUGGAUGUUUUGCCCUCCAGAUCUUCAGGCCAGUCACGUGACUGAAAACCAUGAAUCUGUAACCCACAUAACGAUCAUCAUAAAUCAAGCAUAGCGUUAGUUCUGGCAGGUCAUGUUAGUCAAGUUCAUAUUAGCUGACUCUCAGCUGAUCCACAUCUACAUAUAGGAAUACAACACUCAUCUCAUAUAUAAGGUCCAUCAGUAUUAUCAACAGCUUUCAUGUUGUUUAAUAACUAAUUAUCCUUCUUCAUCCCCAGCUCCUCCUCUUGUCCAGUCAGGAUUCAGCAUUCUGAUUCUCUUUUGAAUUAGGCUAAUUUCAAAAAAGUGUUCAUUAAAUUUUUGAACAAUAAUAAUCUCUGGAAUACAUUUAUGGUGGUUCUGUUCUGUUACCCUAGGGGGUUAUCGAUGCUCUCAUCCAUGCUAGUGUGCAUGGAUGUGCAGGGAGAUCUGGCCCAGAGCAGAACCAUACCACCAAUCCAAACUUUAUGAUAACUGUCAAUCAUCUUUGAUGAUAGUGGUCCUGACAGAAGCAGCUUUAGGAUGUGUAACAUGCUGUUCUGAGCUCUAACAGAGGGGGGCGAUAUUAUUUCUCAAGAUGUUUUAUUAACACUAAACAAGCACCUGAUGUCUAUAAGAAACACAUUUGAAAGCACAGAACGUGUUUCAUAUUUCACUAACCCACAUUCACAUUAUUCGAACACAACAGAACUCAGUUCUCAGUGCUCUUUAAACCAUCAGCUACUUUCAUAUUUUUAGAAAGCCACAUUCAGCAUAAAGUGGAAUCCAUAAAUUAAUAAUUAUAAUCUAAUGAAUCAAUUUAAUAAUUACUACAAACUAAAAUUCUGAUCUUUAAAGUGGACACUGGUUAAGAUGGAGAGGCAGAUGAUACUUAUAAUGCUCAUCACAGUUUCAGGUAAAUAUACUUUAAUCAUAAUUAUUAAUUAAUUACAUUUUGUGAAUCAGCCUAUUUAAUCUGAUAUAAUUUUUAUUGAAAACAAACAAAAAAACAAAACAAAAAAAAAACUUCAUUACACAUCAGAGCAUUUUAAAAUAUAAUUCUCUGCAUUUCAGGUGGAUUUGCUGAUAGAAUUGGGCCAGGUGAAGGAGAUACUAAUAUAAUCGGAGAAGAAGGAGAGCCUGUGACACUGAGCUGCACAUUUGAAAUUAAAAGCAAUGAUAUUUGGCUUUACUGGUACAGACAAUAUCCAAACAGAGAACCAGAAUAUAUACUGUAUAACGGUGCUCGAUCAAGGACCCAUCAGAAAAAUACUGCUGAUGGUUUUCAGUCAACUACAUCCCAGUCAUCCACUGAACUCAUUAUUAACAGUGUAACUCUGUCAGAUUCGGCUCUCUAUUACUGUGCUCUAAGAGUAGUAGCAGCACACAGUGAUACAAAAUGCAUGAGAAGCUUGACAAAAACUCACAUGAAAUUAAUGCUUUGAAGAGUCUUUAAUCAAUCAGAAACAAAACACGUCAUGUUUUUAUAAACCACAAACAGAAAAUGUGGAAACAGCUGUGAAUUUGCUAAAAAAAAAAAGUUUGAAUAAGAGCAUGUGAAUACAAUAUAUCAUGCAUAUCAUAGUUUCAUAUUAUCACUUUAAUAUCUUUUUUUCUGAUUUUAUGUUUUAUCUGAAAUCAGUUAAAUCCUUGUAAAACAACAACAAAACAGCACACACACACACAAAAACUUAUUUAUAUUCAUGAUUAUGAAUUGUGUUCUGCAGGUGUCACUUUUAUGAAUGUAAUCCCUAGUCUGAACAAUAAAAAGGAGCAAACAGAUAAAAGUUAGACA
ensembl:lncRNA